rnacentral:rRNA from 1 species
GUGUCAGCCGCCGCGGUAACACGUAGGGGACGAGCGUUGUCCGGAAUUACUGGGCGUAAAGGGCGCGUAGGCGGUGCUUCAAGUCAGCUGUGAAAUAUCUGGGCUCAACCCGGGUAUGCGGUUGAAACUGGGGUGCUGGAGUACUGUAGAGGCAAGUGGAAUUCCCAGUGUAGCGGUGAAAUGCGUAGAUAUUGGGAGGAACACCGGUGGCGAAGGCGACUUGCUGGGCAGUAACUGACGCUGAGGCGCGAAGGCCAGGGGAGCAAACGGGAUUAGAUACCCCGGUAGUCCUGGCGGUAAACGAUGAAUGCUAGGUGUGAGUGUAGAGAUACAUUUGUGCCGCAGUUAACGCGAUAAGCAUUCCGCCUGGGGAGUACGGUCGCAAGAUUGAAACUCAAAUAAAUUGGCGG